CCUACGGGAGGCAGCAGUGGGGAAUAUUGGGCAAUGGGCGCAAGCCUGACCCAGCAACGCCGCGUGAAGGAAGAAGGCUUUCGGGUUGUAAACUUCUUUUAAGAGGGAAGAGCAGAAGACGGUACCUCUUGAAUAAGCCACGGCUAACUACGUGCCAGCAGCCGCGGUAAUACGUAGGUGGCAAGCGUUGUCCGGAUUUACUGGGGGUAAAGGGCGUGCAGCCGGGAAGACAAGUCAGAUGUGAAAUCCCGCGGCUCAACCGCGGAACUGCAUUUGAAACUGUUUUUCUUGAGUACCGGAGAGGUCAUCGGAAUGCCUGGUGUAGCGGUGAAAUGCGUAGAUAUAAGGAAGAACACCAGUGGCGAAGGCGGAUGACUGGACGGCAACUGACGGUGAGGCGCGAAAGCGUGGGGAGCAAACAGGAUUAGAUACCCCGGUAGUC
rnacentral:rRNA from 1 species